GUAGUGCAUUAAUCGGUAGUUCUCAAACUUUUAUUAAGGUAGUCUACCCACUUCUUUUUUUUUUCUUUGCAACAGACCUAGGGUCCAAAUUCAUGGAAUUCCUGAGAAGGGUGGCUGGGCCAAAUUUGAGUGAUCGCCGUUGUACCCUGGCAUAUGGGGCUGCAGGGGCACUCAGGUUUGGCCCAGUUGCCCUCUGAUGCUGCCAAUGUGUACCUAGUCACAACACACAGUGGCACAUUGGCCAAUGGAGUUCAUGCCCAGGGGCCCCAGAAAAAUGGGUUCCCCAGCAGACAUCCAUUGCUGGGAGCGAAAGCCUGAAGCCCUGGCAGAAGAGCUGGGUGACCCUGGCUGCAGCCCUGGGACUGGAGGAGUUCUUGCUCCCUGCUGCAGCCUCAGGGCUGUGGGAGCUCUCAGUCCCAGCUGUGGUGCUGGGGCAUGGUGUGUGUGUUGCGGGGGGGGACAGAGCUUCUCUGGUCUUGGGGCUGUAGGGGUGGGGAGAAAGGAGCAAACCGGUUGCAGUGCUGCAGUGGGUAGGGUGGGGUGGAAUGGAGUGGGACCGUGGAUGGAACGGGUGGGGCUGUAGGGGAAGGGGUGGAAAAGGGUGAGGCUACAGGUGGGGCCAUAGGUGGAAGGGAUGGAACGUGGGUGGAAUCGCAGGCGGAAGGAGUGGAGAGGCCCCCCCCCCACUUGCUCUAGCCCAUGCCCCCCUGAAACUUUAAUCCAUCUCUGGCAACGCUUGGAGCAGGAAGCUGGCCUGGCCCCAUAUGACAGGAGCCACUGCUGUAGCAUGAGUGCAGGGCGGGCUUGCUCUCCUGCCAACCCAUUCCCCACACUAGUCCCAGAGCCCACCAUUUAGGAAACACUGUGUUAAGUGACCUGACUAACAUCAGUUAUGUGGUUUGUUCUUUCAUCCUCUGCCCACGGUGUGCAGCGGAGUGUUGUUUCAUUAGGGUUGUUUUUUUGAAAUAAAUGUUGCAACGUGUUUGUUAGAGAAGGCAGGUCAAAGACAUGCUUUGCAUGUCAAGCAAAAGGUGAUGAGGUCUGUGAUGGUCCUUACUUUCUGUGGGAGUUCAUUCCACAGUCUUGGCCUGGCCUCUGUCAAAGCUGCCUCCUGCACAGACAAGCUUCACUCUUAUUGUAGAGAGUUCCAUUGUGUCAGAGGAGUGGAGUUGUUGGCCAUGGUUUUCAUCUCAGAACUUUAGGAGCAUCUUUUAGAUAUGCUGGCCCUAGGCCAUUGAGCACCUUAAAGAUAAGCACCAACACCCUGUACUUGACUUGAUAGGCCUCCCUACAGCCCUGUGAAGUAGAUGAAGAUUCUGAUCCCAUUCUAACAGGGGACACCAAGGUACAGAGAGGGGAAAUGACUGUCUAAGGUCAUAUAAUAACCCUGUGGCAGAGCUGGGAAUACAACUUAGUAAGUCCGACUCCUAGUUCCUCAUUCUAAUGUUUAGGACCUGCUCCCUGAGAUCAGUGUGUUGUCAUGUGGGUAAAAGCAGUUUCAGAGUAACUUGAGGGUGAUAAACAGUGCAUUAGUAAAAUAUGUUGGUUGUGGUAACUAAGGGCUUUCAUAUAUUUGUGCACUAUGGUGCACCCUGACUUUGAAAACAAGUGCUGUGUACACUCCAAACACUAGCCUCUCUAGGCUCAAGCCCUAGUUGGGUUUCCAACAUACACACAUCUUUUAAUUGAGGAAUCUUUAUAUUUUUAAGCAGGCACUUAUCUCCUUGAUAUACAAGUGCUGUAUCUUUAGCUACUUCCUAAUAAUCUUUACUAGAACUGGCAGGGAGGAAAGUGUAGAAAUACCCUAGGUACAAGUCUUAGUGGUUUAGUUAGAAAAAGCCCAGGCCCCUAGGAGAGCAGUCCAGCAAGAAGGCACAAAGGUAUCUUUGCUUUCCAGAGUUCAUCAGAUACCCGGUAUGCCCCCUGAGUCUAAACGUCUUGGGCAAGAAGGCAAUUUUAGUCUCUCAGACUCACAAGGCUGGGCUUCCUGCCACCUCUUAAAGGUUGCUAACUCUUACGAUUUUAUCACAAGUCUUAUGAUAUUUGGUAUUUUUCUUAAAGCUCCAGUUCCUGGAUUCAUGUGACUCAAUUUUAUUUUUUUGUAAAGUAAGUUUUUUAGCCCACAGGAUUAUGGGGAAAAACAGGGAAUGUGACCAGAAGGCAAAUAACAUUACUUACAGUUUAUUUUAAUUUUGUGAUUUUUCUUUUUUAAGCUGGUCAUGAUUUGGGGAAGGGGUUGUCAUGAUUUUUGAAUGCAUGGUACUGGCAGUACUGCCUCUGGUGUUGUGGGUGUCACUUGGUAGUCAGUGUGGGAGCCUUUGUGUGUUGGAGACAUGGAUCAUCAUUGCUGCUGUGGGUAGCAGACUAUAUUUCUGUCUCCUUGCCCAGUGUGUGUUUGUUUCUCCUGCUAUCACUUUAUUUCCUGCUCUCUCUCAUUUACUGAUUGCUCAGCUCCCCACCCAACUGUUACAGCUAGUCUUUCCCCAGCACUAACCAGCAUUAUCUGACUGCUUGUACUGCCUUCCUUCGGGUGUGCUUCCCUUUUCUCAGUCUUGCUCUGAGACAGCUACUGGCCACUUCCCCCAGCUCUUCAGGGUUGCUUCUGACGCCAGUGCUUCUGUGCUAUCCUGUGGCCAUGCAUCAGGCCCUGCUACCUCAAAUUUUUUUAUGUGCCACAUCCUGUCUGCUGCUCAGUGCCUUCUAUCAAGAUCCACUGAUAACAGUGGAUCUUGCAGUGCUCUUUAUUGGCCAGCUGCUGGUUUAGGGCCCUACCCUGCUCUCCUGGUAGGGCAGCCAAGUAUAAUGCACAUUUCACAGCCUCAUUGUGUCCCUGCUGCUCCAUAGGAAUGUCACUCAGAAGAGACACAAGGUGGGCGAGGGCAUGUCUUUUACUGGACCAACGUCUGUUGGUGAGAUAAAUGAGUCCGAGCUACACAGCUCUUCUACAGCUCCCACCUGAUCAGCAAUUCCUCUUGUCCACUAGAGGCAUUGCUGCCUCCUCUGUCACUACUCCCUGCUUCCCCUGAGGGCUCCUAGACUAGGGCAGUUGGGGAGAGUUGGGAGGAGAUGAUAGAAGCAAGAGGCGGGGAGAGAGCAUUCGUAUCUGGUCUUGAUGGAGCCAAACUUGCCUUGACCCCAGCUAGCUGUCUUGGGCACCUCCAUGCCACCAGCCCACCUAGCCUACCACACCCCCAAACAGCUGCUGCAGCCACCUUCCUACCGCAUCACCAAACCUCCAGGCAGUCUCUUUUUACCACACCACCCUCAGCCAGCUGCUUCAGGUAGCCUCUUCCUAUCACCUCACCAAACAACUCCCAGCUCUUUCCCACAGGCAGCCUCUUCCUGCCACCGUACCAGACAGUCCCCAGUCAGCUGCCCAAAGUAGCCCCCUCCCCUCCGACAACCCUAGCUGAGGUGACCAGGUGUCUGGUUUUCAACCAUAACACCCAGUUGAAAAGGGAUCCUGGUGGCUAUGGUCAGCACUGCUGACCAGGCCAUUGACUGUCCGUGUGGCACCACGCAGCGGGAUGCGCAGGCUCCCUGAUAACCCCGUGCUGUGCAGCUCCUGGGAAGCAGCCAGCAUGUCCUCCCUCUGGGUCCUAUGCAUAGGGGCAAGCCAGGGGCUCAGCACAGUGGCCCUCCCCAACAGCCAAUGGGAGCUGUGGCUGCCCCUACAGCUCCCAUUGGCUGGACAUGGUGCUGUUUUCGGGAGCUGCCCCAGCCUUGAUCCUCCUCUUGCCCUCCAAACCCAUUUAUCUCAGCCUGGAGCACCCUCCUGAACCCCAAACUCCUCAGCCCCACCCCAGAGCCUGCACCCCUAUCUGGGGCCCUCACUUCCCAGCCCAGAACCCCCAGCCCCCUCCUGCACUCUGAACCCCUCAGCCUGGAGCCCACACCCCCAGCUGGAGCCCUCACUCUCUCUUGCACUCCAGCUCCCUGAGCGAGCCCAGUGAAAAUGAAUAAGUGAAGGUGAUAACAAUGAUCACAAACUCAGUUUUGGCCAUGUUUAGGAGCUCUGUUUAUUUUGGUCUUAGAUGUCACACACCACCUCCAUACUGAUGCACAUAACAAAAUUCAUUCCGCACAUGUGGGAAAAAUUAGAACACUGCUCAUAAGGCAUACCUUAUGCAAAGAUUAUUACAGUAGUGUAUAGGGUGUGAACACAAGUGUGUUCUCCCAUAUUUUCUCUGUCUUUGCAGCUCCCUUCUGGGAUUAAAGAACAAUAUUUCAUUUUACUACAGGUUACAAUAUUAACUGCCUUAGACAUAGUUAAGACAUCAUUUCCGAACAGCAUUUCUGUUGGAAUACAACCUAGCACGCCAACUUUUAAGAUACCUCUGAACCUUUCCACUCCAAAUGCACCUUCACCAAAGGCACAGGCAUUUUAUAUCUUCCCAGUGCCAGGAGUUCUACUUCCUGGCCAGGUAACAUCACUGUUUCUUUGGCCAUGCUUUCCAUGACCAGAAAAAUCUGGGCAUCAGUGUCCGUCCUUCCUAUGCAUUCUUUGCCAUUCACUGUGGCAACUUUAAUAAAUUCCACAUCCACCUCCUCUGGGUCAGAUCUCACAAACGUAAUCAGGGGCCCUGCAGGCGCCUCUAGGUUAAUGAAAAGUGUGUUAAACUGGGUUGGAUGGGAUGAGCAUUUAUAUUUUUAGUUUAGGGCAGUGUCUCUCCAUCUUUACAGACUACUGUAUCCUUUUCAGGAGUAUUUUCUAUUUUGUCUUGUGCACCCCAAGUGUACCUUGUGUACCUCAAGUUUCACCUCACUUAAAAACUACUUCCUUACAAAAUGAGACAUAAGAAUACAAAAGUAUCACAGCACACUAUUACUGAAAAACUGCUGACUUACUCAUUUUUACCAUAUAAUUAUAAAUUGAUUGGAAUAUAAAUAUUGUAGUGACAUUUCAGUGUAUAGUAUAUAGAGCAGUAUAAACAACUCGUAUGAAAUUGUAGUUUGUACUGACUUUGCUAGUGCUUUUUAUGUAGCCUGUUGUAAAAGUAGGUAAAUGUCUAGCGGAGUUGAUGUACCCCAGGGAUACACACUCCUGGCUGAGAACCACUGAUUUAGAGCAAUUAUUUCUCAUGUGCUCAGUGGAGUCACACAGAUAACACCUUCUUGCACUGUUGUCUUGUGCCUGUGCUCUCAACUAUCCUCCUUUUCCCCAGGGAUGAAAUGGGUUCCCCCUUUACCCUGUGCUUCUGCCCCUCUUUCUUUAUCUUACACUAGUAGACACUUUGGCCUGCACAAAGAAAUCAGCCAGAUCUGCUACUUCCUGCACAGAGACACAUAAAACAAGAUUUAUCCUGGAUUACAUCUCUGAUCUCCUGAGAGCAUGUGCUCGGGAAACGUUCUUGAGCAAAGAGAUCAAAUAAUUGGUCAUAAUUGUCAGCCUUUUCUUCCUUUGCCCAUUUCCUCUUCAGGUCACAUGUUUUAUAAACAUAUUCCCCAUGACUCAGAUUAGCACUUUUCCUGAGGUUUCUGAAUUUCAACAUGUACGCAUUAGGGGUAAUUUGAAACCUUUGCAAUACAGUCUUUUCAUAUUCAUACUUCAUUAAAUACAUUCAAGCUUUGCAAUCGUGGGGGGGGGUGGGGACUUUGUCUUCUGGGACUCUAUACAAUUCACAAAUCUUUUGAAAGGUGGUAAAUAUUCUUUGAUGCAGUCCAAUUCUCUGUACAUGGGCCACAGUUUGUCCCAGCUAGGUGUCCCUUGGGGCGAGAGAGUAGCUGUGGGUUGUGAGAUCUAUGCAUGUCCUUCCAUUAUGUCCAGGUUAUACAGCCUCUCCUCCUCUUUUUCUCAGGCUUCUUUGUCUUUCCGCUCCAUGACUCUUUGGUGGGCAGCUGCUUCUGCUUCCAGGGCCUGCCAGUGUGCUGCUUCUUGCUCUUUGGCUCUUCUGUCCACUUCCCGUUUUUGGUAUUUAUGAUCUCUCUCUCGUUCUGCUUCCCAUUUUUGCUCCUUUUCCAAUUUAGCAGGCCCUAGCUUAGCUGUUGUUUCACUGUCAUUCAUUUUAAACUUCCUUUGCUCUAUUUCCCUUGCUCAAAAUAAACAGAAACUAAUAAAAUGAGUCUUUCUUUAACUAUUCCCAGCCUUAUCACUUAAAACUAUUCUGUUAGUGCUUGAAAUAUAAACCUCAGUCAAAGUAGGAAACGGUGUAUAAAUCCUGUCCGACUAGGCCGGUAUGACAUUUUGGGGUUCAAACCUGAUCAGUUAGGGUUUGUUACCUCCUGCCUUGCACCUCUGGGUGCCUUAAAUGCAAUGCAGCCAUGGCUCGCAGCCCUUACCCCCACAGGCAGCCUACAGGUCAUGGCCUGGCUUCCACUGCCCAGUUACUGUUUGCAGAGUGACCCCAACAGCCUCCCAAUCCUGAUUUUCCCCAAAACUGUCUCCCUGAAAUGUUCAGCCCUCUCUUCCAUGCAGAAGUAAAGUUCAUUGCUCCUUCAAAGAGACAAAACCAGCAGCUUGUUAUCUUGACUAGAGAUAACAAUCACUUCAGUUCAAUCAAAGCACUGGGUUGGUAUAGAUUAAAAAUAAAACAAGUUUAUUCAGUCAAUAAGAGAUUUUAUGUGAGUUCAAGUACAAGGGAUAAAGAUAGAAAGAGUUAUCUUUGUUUUUUGUAAGAAUAUGCUUUCUGAUAUACGAGGGCGUGCACAGGAAUUUAAAUCUGACUAUUUUUGGAGGAGCACGUUAAACACAUGCAUUAUACGCUUUAAAGCAUAUCAACAUGUGCACCUACAUCAUAUGCAUAAAACUAAACAGCAGUACACUCACCAUUUCAAUGAAAAUCCAUGCACCAUGGAGCCAUCUGAAUACAUGUAUCCAAAGCCUCUUCUGUGUUCACACUGUUGGAUAAGUUAGUCUCUACUGCAAGAAUUAACAGUUGCUGAAGGUGAGCUUCUGUCAAACUGCUGCAAAGUCUUCUAAGAACACGCUUUUUAGCACUAAAACAUCUUUCUCAAGUUGCAGUUGUAGUGUUGCCAAAAGCACCAAUAGGUCAAAUACAUCAGGAUACAAAAGUUCCAGGUCAUGAUCUUUACAGACCUUCGUAAGUUCCGGAAGAGAUACUGCACUCUCCGAUCCCUGAGCAUUUAAAAUAGGGUCAAGGUGGUGCACAAAUAAAUUGUACUGCAUUUCAGGAACUCUGCACUGAAAUUCUUCAUUUGGUUGCACAUGUGCUUCAUUUCCUUUUGGUAUAGUAACAGUUUUCAGUUUUUUUUGCAGUGAGAUAGGACACAGCUUUGAAUAUUACUGUAUUUUUCUGCUGUAUCGUCUGUCCAUUUCACUUAUUGCAGCAUCAAGUGCAGGGGAAAAGAAACCAACUUAUAUUUCUUUUCUAAAGAUUAAAAAUGGUAGCAUUCUGUAUGACUCCCAUAAAAAUGAUCCAGAGUUUUUGCUGGUCACCUUUUCCUGCAAGUUGGCAUUUGCAGAUUCAGUUCAGUAGCCCAAUGUUCAGCUUUUACAAAGUAUUCAUGGAAGUUUUCAUCCAUUCUCAGGUUGCGCAAGACUUUUAAACAACUCUCUACUGCACAGGCAAAAUCAAUGUUUUCCCACUGCAGGAAAGUGAUAGCAUAAUGCAUGCAGUUUAACGCAUCCAAAAAUACCAAAAGGCAGAUUAUGAAUUUGAAAUCGAGCUGUGCUUACAUGUGCUUACAUAUCAUAAGCCCCUUUGCUUUGCUGACACACUUAACUGUGGUGGCAUUCUGGAGAAUAUUGAGUAAGGUUUCUGAAAAUUAGAAAACUGCAUUUAUGACCUGCAAAGCUUGGCAGUGUGAAUGCCAGCGUGCCUCGUGAAGCGCCUGAUGAGAUCUCUCGCUACCGCCACAUUCAUUGCCACUGACACUUGAAGUCCCUUCUGUCUGUGUCAUGAUGUCCUUUUGUAUUUUUUUUAAAGGUGAUGCUGCGAUGAGUGAUGUGGAUGAAUGUAAACAGGUUCUGAACAAGUCCAAUAAAAUUCUUUGAAAGGG